UACGUAGGGGGCGAGCGUUGUCCGGAUUCAUUGGGCGUAAAGCGCUUUAAGGCGGUUCGCUAAGUCGGGUGUGAAACCUCCAGGCUCAACCUGGAGACGCCACUCGAUACUGGCGUGACUAGAGUUCGGUAGGGGACCACGGAAUUCCUGGUGUAGCGGUGAAAUGCGCAGAUAUCAGGAGGAACACCAGUGGCGAAGGCGGUGGUCUGGGCCGAUACUGACGCUGGUAGAGCGAAAGCGUGGGGAGCGAACAGG
rnacentral:rRNA from 1 species